GAAAAGGCUUCUCUAGAAGCCAAAAACCAAUGGAAAUCAAAAUACG
rfam:Manacus vitellinus contig33175, whole genome shotgun sequence.